ensembl:lncRNA
CUCCAACUUGGGUUACAAUGAUAUAACUGUUCAGAGGGAAUACCAUCUUCUAGAACCGUGAAAGCGAGAGAGAGUAGGAAUGAAGCUGCCAUGUGAGAACCUGUUUGGUUUAUUCAUAUUUUCUGUCUCAAGCCUAUGGUAUCUUCAGCAGCACAAGAGAUUUGACACCAUUUCCAAGUUCUCUUCAUGCUGUAACCUUGAAUCCAGUUUUACUGCAAUCAAGUCAGGUGGAUCUAACUCUUGCUUCAGCUACUGAAAACUCCUCACUGUCCUCGCUUCGUUAAGCUGCCAUCCAUGUUAUGCUACAUUUGAGAACUUGACUGAAAUUCAUAAAUGUGCAUGCAGACACCCAAUUUCUCUGGCUAAAACCCUGGAAUAUUCCUACAGUGCCACAUAAAACAGCUUGAACUUGUUGGC